CAGGGCGGAGGCAUGCCGUGCGGGGAGAAGCGGCACGAGGGGCCGCGGGGUCACGGUGCGAGGGUCCGGGGCGUCGCGGCGGUGCGCCGGCGGCGAGCCGUGCGAGGAGCCGCGAGGCCCUGCAGACACGGCGGUCCUUGAGGAGUGGGGCGCCGCCAUCGACGCGUGGGUCGACCGCGUCCUCGAGCUCAUCGGCAGCGGCAAGCGUGCUUUCAGACCCAAAACAAUUUCAAGGAUGUUCCGCCUCCACAGUGACUUCUUCCCCAUACGAGAUGUCGCAGCUAGGCUUAAUUUUCCCCGAUUUUUUCAAUCCAUAGCCUGAAUGCAUGAAAGUGAAUUACCACACCACCAUCUUCUGCACCUCCACGAGGCGAUGAGGACAUGACAGCCUCGGAUACGACCAUUCGAGCAAAUCAGCAGGUGAGCUCGUUCCUAUGUACUGCAUCUUAUGAUUUUGAGAAUGACAUGCUACCUAAUAAUGUUAUUAUGGUUAGGAAUAAUGGACAGGACCUGCAGGGAGGCCUUGAGAACAAGCUCUUGUAGGUGUGAAGGGACAAGCCGGAUGUCUUACCAAGUUGGAGGCCAGUUGAGCAAUGGCUACAAACAACCAAGUUCUUACGUACAUCAGGUUUAUUUUGAGGCUAUAUUAAAUGUGUCAAGGUGAAAUUCCAGUUUAUUUUCAGUGGGCUAUGGCUCAUCUGUUGCCAGGUUUGUUGCUUUCUUGGUUUUAGUUUAGAUAGCUUCUGGUUGAUUAGAUGGUUGCCAUUGUAAUUUGUGUUGCUUAAUAUGCCCUGAUCCAUCAAAGGGUGCACAAUGGCAAAUUCAUGACAAGUGUGCAUCUAACUGCAUUAAUUAGACUUUAUUGUGCAUGCUCCUAAUGUGUUGUUUAAUAAUAAUGAUGAUGGAUUGUUGCCA